rnacentral:misc_RNA from 1 species
AAAGUCGUAACAAGGUUUCCGUAGGUGAACCUGCGGAAGGAUCAUUACCAAAUCCAAAAAUACCCAACCCCAUGUGAACUAUUGUUUGUUGUCCUUGGGGGAAAAUGGGAGAGGAGGGGAGAAUAAAAAACUUUAUUUUUCUUUUCUUUGUCUUUUCCCCCAAAAGAAUCCGGGGCACUUCGGUGCUUUUGUGAUUCUUGAUAAACCACAGAUUUCUUUUUUUGUUUCGGAAUGACUUUUAUUAAAAAAUUAAAUAAAAGACAACUUUUAACGGUGGAUCUCUUGGCUCGU